ensembl:lncRNA
AGGAUACACUGCCCAUUGGCAGAUGUCACAAAAUGUUAGUUUCCAAGCCUGUGCACACAUGAAGUUACAUUAAAGCUUACGUAGACCACAUACAAUAAUACAAAUGUAUAUUUUUAUAUUAUGAAUAAUUACAGCAUUGCACAUAAAACAGUGUAGCUGCUGCAAGAAAACAAAGCUGCGUUAGCUUUACUUAAAGGAAAUGGAAACACUUUGUGGUUGAAGUGUCUGUGCUUUGCAUUGAGACCUGUAGUUUGAUCAACACCUUUACAAACGACAGACACAAUGGAGAAGGUCAUGUUCUUUUGUGCUGUUUCAUACAGAAUAAUUCAGAUCACUUCCAGCGAUGUUUCAGAACAUGAUGUGAGUAUUUUACGAGUCCGGCUGAAUGAAAGCAUCACUCUGAACUGCAGCAUGACAGACAGAUAUGAAAUCUCCUGGUAUCACCAGAAUCCUGAUUCUGGACGACUAACAUUACUGAUGUCUGCCAAAAGCAGCAGUGUAGCGGGAAGAAAACUGCUAGUUAGGUUCAAUCAAAACUGGAGUCGUCUGACAGUUCAUGCAGAUGUGGAGAUCAACACAGUCUCUCUAGUUAUUUCUGGAUUUACAGAGUCAGACUCAGGUCUUUAUUUCUGUGGAACUAAAUCAGUGGAAAUGCACUUCAACAAACCAAUCAGACUACAGAUCGAGGACAAGCUGACAGACAGAGAGGACAAAGUUCAUUCUGAUUUUGAGGAACAGAAAUAACAGAAAUGAACAGAAAUGAAGUUGGGAACAGAAAUAAUUCUCUUGUCUCAUUUUAUUUCAGGAAAUCUUCAAGUUCAUUAGUGUAUAUGUUAUAAGUUAUUUAGAUUUUAAUAAUCUAAAGAACCUUUUGUCCAAUAGAAAGAUUCUGUGGAUAUUAAAGAUUCUUCACAGAACUAUCAAAUCCAAGUAAAAACUUUUUUUAAGAGUGUAACUGUUUAUGUUACUGAAUUACAAAGCUCUAGAGGAGUUCAUGAGAAAGUACAAAUGUCAUCUGUUUUUUUAAUCAGCAGUAAAACUGAGAAAUCAUGUCACAGUCAUAUUUGUGAUGGACAAAUUAUAUAAAUUCUUUCUAAAUGUGAUGUAGACCAACAGUAAAAAAUACUGUCUGUCACUAUAAAUAAACAGAAACAGGCGUGAAUGAAUAAGUGUGUG